rnacentral:rRNA from 1 species
UACGUAGGCAGCGAGCGUUGUUCGGAAUUACUGGGCGUAAAGAGUGCGUAGGCGGUGCUCUAAGUCUGUUGUGAAAUCUCCCGGCUCAACUGGGAGGGUGCGGCGGAAACUAGAGUGCUAGAGUAUGGGAGAGGUAAGCGGAAUUCCUGGUGUAGCGGUGAAAUGCGUAGAUAUCAGGAGGAACACCUGUGGUGUAGACAGCUUACUGGACCAUGACUGACGCUGAGGCACGAAAGCGUGGGUAGCAAACAGG